ACCUUGGGCUUGCAAAGCAGGCACCAGAACCACUGUGCUAAAUCCCUGGCCCAUGGCAGCGUCUUUACCACACUAAUUUAGUUUGAUUCUGCAGCCCUCAGUCAUAUUCCCAAACUCACUUUACACAUUAUUAACACAUUCUGUUUUACUUAUUCUUGACAGAGAGGGAAGGAGGAGGAACAGAGGGAGAGAGAGUGCAGAGGUAGGAAAAGGGGAAGAAAUAUAGGAGGCAUACACUUCUCCCAUUUUACAGAUGAAUAAAUUGAGGUGUAGAGAACUGAAAUGCCCUGCCCAAGAUCAAUUGGCUACUGAGGGUCAAAGCCAGGACCAGAAGCUAGUGUUUUUCCCUCCUUCUGGGUCCACAAAUCCUUCCUGCUGGCAAGUCUGUGGCUGUAUUCUUCCUAGUUACUACUCACAGCCUUGGAUGUGUGAAGGGCAGCCCCUGACUUCACCCUGGCUUAAAGGAACCCCAAAUUUCAGAAGAAGCUCCCACAAAUGGGGUGCUAAGGACUUCCUUUCUCUCAGGACAGCUCCAGUUUGUUCAAAGAGAUGUGAGCAAUUCCAUAGCUGGUAGAGUUUCAACUCAAACAUCUACUUGGAGGGUCAGUCCUCAUAACCUGGAUCCCUGGACUGAGGAUUCUGAGUCUGUUUGAGCCUCGUUGACAGACUGCUGUGAUCAACUAGUGAUGUCUGCCAAGGGCAUAGGAAUGGAGAACAGUGUUAUGUAUACCUAUACAUUUCCAGGGUUUUGUUUUUGUUUGUUUGUUUUGGUGGUACUGGGGAUCAAACUCAGAACCUUGCAUUUUCGAGGCAGGCACAGUGCCACUGAGCUAAAUCCCCAGCCCUGGAUUUCCAGGUUUCGGCUGCCCUUAGGAUAGAGCCUUCUGGAUUCAAGUGCCACUUUCUUGUCUUUCUGCUCUCCUUCGCUCUUUUCUUCUUUUUCACAUGCUUGCCUUGCUCACUUUCUCUUUUCUUUUGUUUCUGUACUUCUAUGUUCUGUAUAAAUCUUGUGUUUGGAACAGACUAUAUCCUCUUGCCAAGCCUGUCAAGGGUGCUUGCUCUUACUCUCUCUUGGUCUUUCCCUUCUUCUGCCUUUUUGCUCCUAUAGUCCAUCUACUAUGUUAUCUCCCCCACCCCCCACCCCAUCCAGGGCACCAAAAGCUGCGCAUGGUAAACAAUAUUCACUAGGUCAGCAAUCUAUCUUGCCUGGCUGACCACGGGAACACUGUUUCCUUCAGGAAGCUCCCUGUUUAGGCCGUGGGACCUGGCUCACUGAUAGUCACUGGGAAACCAUUCCACAGGAAACCAAGCAAUGGUUUAUGGUGCCUUGUUUGUGUUAAAGCAUUCCUUGCCUAUGCUUCACAAGCAUCCAGAAACUGGUAAAAUGUCACUUUUAGACUUGACUCCAUCCUGCCCCCAGGCCUGUGGACUGCACUGAAAAGCUUAGCCUUAUAAGGUUAGCAAUCUUUGGGCAUUUUAUUACAUUUCCCAUAAACAGCCUCCACUUACUGAAUACUAACUAGGAAUCAGACGUUGCGCGCAGGGUGUACAUGCAUUAUCGCAUCGAUUGUUCCCAUUAAUCUGGACUUUGGUUACUAUAAUUAUCCCUGUUUUACAGAGGAGGAAAUUGAAGCUCAAGGAGUCUGAGUAACUUGGCCCAAGAUCAGUCUGGAGGGAAUGGAAGAGCCUCUGACUGGUCUGUGCAGCUCUGUACCAUGCUUUAACACAAUGUCUCACUCCUUGUGUGGGCACUGUGACAUGCCAUCAAACCAUCCUGUGCCAGCAAGAAGCUUAGAAAUAAGAAAGAUAGAAUUGGCAUCUGACAGCAAAACCACAUGGACCAGACUAGGAAACUGCAAGGCAGUUCUAAAACAAUAUCCUAGCUCUUAUGCCUGCAAGAAUGAAGAUUCAUUUCAAGAAAAAAAUUCAUGUCCAUCUGAGAAGGCUUGACUACAAGUAGAAACCCACCAAAAGGAAUGUCAAAGGAUGACCACCUACACACCACCUAGGGCGGAGGUGAGGACCCAGCAUCCACUCUGCCCACCUAGCCUAUUCUGUUAGCUGUUUGUCCAUUGCUUUAUUAUUAAUGCGGCACCUACUAUGCAUCAGCCACAAUGCUGGGCACUGCCUGGCAUCCAUGGAGCCAACACCCUGGUCAGGAAGAUGGAGGCAGAUUUACUGUGUCUCAGGGCCU
rnacentral:lncRNA from 1 species